UGCGUAGGCGGGCUAAUAAGUCAGUGGUGAAAUCGCUCGGCUCAACCGGGAAACUGCCAUUGAUACUGUUAGUCUUGAGUUCGGUUGAGGUAGGCGGAAUGUGUAAUGUAGCGGUGAAAUGCUUAGAUAUUACACAGAACACCAAUUGCGUAGGCAGCUUACUAGACCGACACUGACGCUGAGGCACGAAAGCGUGGGGAGCGAACAGGAUUAGAUACCCUGGUAGUCC
rnacentral:rRNA from 1 species